rnacentral:rRNA from 1 species
CAGCCGCCGCGGGAAAACGUAGGGGGCAAGCGUUAUCCGGAAUUACUGGGUGUAAAGGGAGCGUAGACGGUUAAACAAGUCUGAAGUGAAAUGCCGGGGCUCAACCCCGGAGCUGCUUUGGGAACUGUAGAACUGGAGUGUCGGAGGGGUAAGCGGAAUUCCCAGUGUAGCGGUGAAAUGCGUAGAUAUUGGGAGGAACACCGGCGGCGAAGGCGGCUUACUGGACGACAACUGACGUUGAGGCUCGAAGGCGUGGGUAGCAAACAGGAUUAGAUACCCCUGUAGUCCCUGUCUCUUAUAC